rnacentral:rRNA from 1 species
AACGAACGCUGGCGGCAUGCCUAACACAUGCAAGUCGAACGAAGGCUUCGGCCUUAGUGGCGCACGGGUGCGUAACGCGUGGGAAUCUGCCCCUCGGUUCGGAAUAACAGUUAGAAAUGACUGCUAAUACCGGAUGAUGACUUCGGUCCAAAGAUUUAUCGCCGAGGGAUGAGCCCGCGUAAGAUUAGGUAGUUGUUGGGGUAAAGGCCUACCAAGCCGACGAUCUUUAGCUGGUCUGAGAGGAUGAUCAGCCACACUGGGACUGAGACACGGCCCAGACUCCUACGGGAGGCAGCAGUGGGGAAUAUUGGACAAUGGGCGAAAGCCUGAUCCAGCAAUGCCGCGUGAGUGAUGAAGGCCUUAGGGUUGUAAAGCUCUUUUACCAGGGAUGAUAAUGACAGUACCUGGAGAAUAAGCUCCGGCUAACUCCGUGCCAGCAGCCGCAGUAA